CAGGUAACCUGGCAAGAACUGUACAGAGCAUGGAUCCUGGACCAGAUUUUCAUCCUGGAAGUGGCUAGUGUGAACUGAAUUUAUUGGUGCCUCAGUACAGAGGAUGUAUUAUAGGCCCUGCUAACGUUCCAUCUACCUUCUGGAAAGGUGUUCUUAAGGUGUUCAGUCU
rnacentral:lncRNA from 1 species